rnacentral:rRNA from 1 species
GGGUUCCGAGUUGUAAUUUGUAGAGGAUGUUUUGGGUACCGCCCCCGGUUCUAAAUUUCUUGGAACAGAAUGUCAGAGAGGGUGAGAAUCCCGUCUUGGGCCGGCGGUAGGGCCUGUGUAAAACUCCUUCGACGAGUCGAGUUGUUUGGGAAUGCAGCUCAAAAUGGGUGGUAAAUUUCAUCUAAAGCUAAAUAUUGGCCGGAGACCGAUAGCGCACAAGUAGAGUGAUCGAAAGAUGAAAAGCACUUUGAAAAGAGAGUUAAACAGUAUGUGAAAUUGUUGAAAGGGAAGCGCUUGCAACCAGACUUGAGCGUGGCGGUUCCCCUAGCCUUUUGGCUCGGUUACUCCGUCAUGUCCAGGCCAACAUCGGUUCUGGGGGUCGGUUAAAGGCCCCGGGAAUGUAUCUACCCACGGGUAGACUUAUAGACCGGGGCGUCAUGCGGCCUCUCAGGACCGAGGAACGCGCUUCGGCUCGGAUGUUGGCGUAAUGGUUGUCAGCGACCCGUCUUGAAACACGGACCAAGGAGUCUAACAUCUAUGCGAGUGUUUGGGUGUCAAACCCGGAACGCGGAAUGAAAGUGAACGGAGGUAGGAAGCUUCGGCUGCACUAUCGACCGAUCCUGAAGUUUACGGAUGGAUUUGAGUAAGAGCAUAGCUGUUGGGACCCGAAAGAUGGUGAACUAUGCCUGAAUAGGGUGAAGCCAGAGGAAACUCUGGUGGAGGCUCGCAGCGGUUCUGACGUGCAAAUCGAUCGUCAAAU